rnacentral:rRNA from 1 species
CGAACGCUGGCGGCGUGCCUAAUACAUGCAAGUAGAACGCUGAAGGAGGAGCUUGCUUCUCCGGAUGAGUUGCGAACGGGUGAGUAACGCGUAGGUAACCUGCCUGGUAGCGGGGGAUAACUAUUGGAAACGAUAGCUAAUACCGCAUAAGAGUAGAUGUUGCAUGACAUUUGCUUAAAAGGUGCAAUUGCAUCACUACCAGAUGGACCUGCGUUGUAUUAGCUAGUUGGUGGGGUAACGGCUCACCAAGGCGACGAUACAUAGCCGACCUGAGAGGGUGAUCGGCCACACUGGGACUGAGACACGGCCCAGACUCCUACGGGAGGCAGCAGUAGGGAAUCUUCGGCAAUGGACGGAAGUCUGACCGAGCAACGCCGCGUGAGUGAAGAAGGUUUUCGGAUCGUAAAGCUCUGUUGUAAGAGAAGAACGAGUGUGAGAGUGGAAAGUUCAC